GAUGAACGCUAGCGGCAGGCUUAACACAUGCAAGUCGAGGGGUAACGAUAGUGCUUGCACUAGGCGACGACCGGCGAACGGGUGCGUAACGCGUAUAGAAUCUGCCUUGUACAGGAGGAUAGCCUUUAGAAAUGAAGAUUAAUACUCCAUAAUGUAUUGCGGUGGCAUCACCACAAUAUUAAAGAUUUAUUGGUACAAGAUGACUAUGCGUCCUAUUAGUUAGUUGGUAAGGUAACGGCUUACCAAGGCAGCGAUAGGUAGGGGGUCUGAGAGGAUUAUCCCCCACACUGGUACUGAGACACGGACCAGACUCCUACGGGAGGCAGCAGUGAGGAAUAUUGGACAAUGGGCGCAAGCCUGAUCCAGCCAUGCCGCGUGCAGGAAGACUGCCCUAUGGGUUGUAAACUGCUUUUAUACAGGAAGAAACUGUAGUACGUGUACUACACUGACGGUACUGUAAGAAUAAGCACCGGCUAACUCCGUGCCAGCAGCCGCGGUAAUACGGAGGGUGCAAGCGUUAUCCGGAAUCAUUGGGUUUAAAGGGUCCGCAGGCGGUCGAUUAAGUCGGAGGUGAAAUCCCAUAGCUUAACUAUGGAACUGCCUUUGAUACUGGUUGACUUGAGUCAUAUGGAAGUGGAUAGAAUAAGUAGUGUAGCGGUGAAAUGCAUAGAUAUUACUUAGAAUACCGAUUGCGAAGGCAGUCCACUACGUAUGUACUGACGCUCAUGGACGAAAGCGUGGGGAGCGAACAGG
rnacentral:rRNA from 1 species